rnacentral:piRNA from 1 species
UCAGUUCAGUGGUUUGCCAUUAGCAUUGGCCU